UGGUGGUCUAUAUUUAGAAAGGGAAGGUCUCAGUUCUGGAUGGAGUUAUUUGCAGACCUUAGAGAUGCUGGAUACUUCAACGGGAGUCAUGAGCAUCAGUGCCUAUUGAGAUAUUGCUUUGGUGAUGUUAUUCAGAAGGACCUGGAUGAGUGUGUGAGACUGUGGAACAGUCACAGGAUUCGCCCUUCCAGAACAGCAGCAUGUCCAGGAGGAAUGCCCAAUGAACUCUACUACUUACCACACAGGUUUGGCUCCAGAGACUGCGGAUUUCAAGUGGAACAGGCUGAACUGGAUGCCCUUCCUGAGGCCAGCCUGUCAAUGACUCCUUGUGGGGACCCAAACAUGCAGGAAUACUUGGACUUUG